AUUGAACGCUGGCGGCAGGCCUAACACAUGCAAGUCGAGCGAGCGGCGGACGGGUGAGUAAUGUCUGGGAAACUGCCUGAUGGAGGGGGAUAACUACUGGAAACGGUAGCUAAUACCGCACACCAUCAGAUGUGCCCAGAUGGGAUUAGCUAGACGGUGGGUUAACGGCUCACCUGGGCGACGAUGCCUAGCUGGUCUGAGAGGAGGACCAGCCACACUGGAACUGAGACACGGCCCAGACUCCUACGUGAGGCAGCAGUGGGGAAUAUUGCGCAAUGGGCGCAAGCCUGAUGCAGCCAUGCCGCGUGUGUGAAGAAGGCCUUCGGAUUGUAAAGCCCUUUCAGCGGGGAGGCGUUACCCAAAGAGAAAGCAACGGCUAACUCCGUGCCAGCAGCCGCGGUAAUAC
rnacentral:rRNA from 1 species